UACGAAGGGGGCUAGCGUUGCUCGGAAUCACUGGGCGUAAAGGGUGCGUAGGCGGGUCUUUAAGUCAGGGGUGAAAUCCUGGAGCUCAACUCCAGAACUGCCUUUGAUACUGAAGAUCUUGAGUUCGGGAGAGGUGAGUGGAACUGCGAGUGUAGAGGUGAAAUUCGUAGAUAUUCGCAAGAACACCAGUGGCGAAGGCGGCUCACUGGCCGAUACUGACGCUGAUGCACGAAAGCGUGGGGAGCAAGCAGG
rnacentral:rRNA from 1 species